UGGGGAAUAUUGCGCAAUGGGCGAAAGCCUGACGCAGCGACGCCGCGUGAGGGACGACGGCCUUCGGGUUGUAAACCUCUUUCAGCAGGGACGAAGCGAAAGUGACGGUACCUGCAGAAGAAGCACCGGCUAACUACGUGCCAGCAGCCGCGGUAAUACGUAGGGUGCAAGCGUUGUCCGGAUUUAUUGGGCGUAAAGAGCUCGUAGGUGGCCUGCCGCGUCGGAUGUGAAAACCCGGGGCUCAACCCCGGGCCUGCAUUCGAUACGGGCAGGCUAGAGGAUGGCAGGGGAAACUGGAAUUCCUGGUGUAGCGGUGAAAUGCGCAGAUAUCAGGAGGAACACCGGUGGCGAAGGCGGGUUUCUGGGCCAUUCCUGACACUGAGGAGCGAAAGCGUGGGGAGCGAACA
rnacentral:rRNA from 1 species